UCCCCGUUCUCCUGGGCAGUCUCUGCGGGAUUCCGGUGGAUUUAACCCAGGUAAGGUUCUGCGCGUUGCGUCGAAUUGAACCACAUGCUCCACCGCUUGUGCGGGCCCCCGUCAAUUCCUUUGAGUUUUAGCCUUGCGGCCGUACUCCCCAGGCGGGAUGCUUAAUGCGUUAACUGCGUUGCCGCAGGGGUCAAUACCCGCGACGACUAGCAUCCAUCGUUUACGGCGUGGACUAC
rnacentral:misc_RNA from 1 species